rnacentral:rRNA from 1 species
GCGUGAGUGAUGAAGGCCUUAGGGUUGUAAAGCUCUUUUGUCCGGGACGAUAAUGACGGUACCGGAAGAAUAAGCCCCGGCUAACUUCGUGCCAGCAGCCGCGGUAAUACGAAGGGGGCUAGCGUUGCUCGGAAUCACUGGGCGUAAAGGGCGCGUAGGCGGCCUUGUAAGUUGGGGGUGAAAGCCCGUGGCUCAACCACGGAAUUGCCUUCGAUACUGCUUGGCUUGAGUGUGGUAGAGGUUGGUGGAACUGCGAGUGUAGAGGUGAAAUUCGU